UGGGGAAUAUUGGACAAUGGGGGGAACCCUGAUCCAGCCAUGCCGCGUGUGUGAAGAAGGUCUUCGGAUUGUAAAGCACUUUAAGUUGGGAGGAAGGGUUUCUGGUUAAUACCCGGGAAUUUUGACGUUACCAACAGAAUAAGCACCGGCUAACUUCGUGCCAGCAGCCGCGGUAAUACGAAGGGUGCGAGCGUUAAUCGGAAUUACUGGGCGUAAAGCGCGCGUAGGUGGUUUGUUAAGUUGGAAGUGAAAGCCCCGGGCUCAACCUGGGAAUGGCUUUCAAAACUGGCGAGCUAGAGUACGGUAGAGGGCAGUGGAAUUUCCUGUGUAGCGGUGAAAUGCGUAGAUAUAGGAAGGAACAUCAGUGGCGAAGGCGACUGUCUGGACUGAUACUGACACU
rnacentral:rRNA from 1 species